GAACAAAGGAGAAAGGUUUACGUCUAUGAGAAGCAUCCCUGCUUAUGAGAAUGCUAUGAAGGAGUCUUUCGAACGCCGUUUGGAUUUGUACUUGUGCCGUCGAGUUCGAAGAAAACAUCUUAAUACUGAUCCUGAAUCUUUAAAGCCAAAGCUUCCAAAGAAAAAGGAACUUAAGCCUUACACCAUAACAUGCUAUGUCGAAUAUAAAGACCAUGAAGGUGGGCAGUGGAUGGCUUCAGGUUCAAGUGAUGGAACUGUCCGUGUCUGGGAGGUUGAAACAGGUAGAUGUCUGAGACAGUGGGUGUAGGAGAUUGGUGAAGCUGUGAACUGUGUUACUUGGAAUCCUCUGCCUGAUAUUCAUAUUCUGGCCGUCUUUGUGCAAGAAAGCACCUAGUGUAAGCUAGCUGGCUUAAAGAUGAUAAACAUGACGCUAUAAGGUUAAGGCAUUUAAAGACUGUUACUAGCGUGGAAUGGCACCGAAAAGGUGACUACUUUUCAACAGUGAUGUCAACAGAUAUCCUUUCUAAGUGUUGUGUCAGUUUUAGCUGAUAGCCUGAUACAUACAUUCUUUCUUGUUUAUUCGUUAUCUAAUAAUAAUAGUUACAUAUUUCCAACAAAUGAACAAUAACGCACAUAAAAGUCUCACAUACCUAUCAUUGCACAAGUAGUCAUGUAUGUUGCCGCAUCAUACCUUAGUAGUAGUCUUUAUGUCUUUCAACAAAGCUUGAAUUAUCUCCGGAUUUUGACACACUUAAUGACCAUGAAUAGAACCAUUUAGACGUGAGCUGUUACUCAUCAUGUAAUUCCACUCACUACAUGUAAGAUCUGCUUCCGUUAA